rnacentral:rRNA from 1 species
UACGUAGGGGGCAAGCGUUGUCCGGAUUUAUUGGGCGUAAAGAGCGUGUAGGCGGCUAGGUAGGUCCGUUGUGAAAACUCGGAGGCUCAACCUCGAGCUGUCGAUGGAAACCAUCUGGCUAGAGUCCGGAAGAGGAGAGUGGAAUUCCUGGUGUAGCGGUGAAAUGCGCAGAUAUCAGGAGGAACACCGGUGGCGAAGGCGGGUCUCUGGGCCGAUACUGACGCUGAGGAGCGAAAGCGUGGGAGCGAACAGG